UUCCUGUGUGGAAGAACUUUUUGUACCUUCCUCCGAGACUUUUGAGGAAUAGGUAUAGAACAUGUUUAUUGUCGCUGUAAUGCAGUGUUUACCGAGUUCUAUUUAAAACAUCACUUUCCUUUUUUGUGUGGAAGUUAAGCUGAGGGCAGUGACAGUCUCUCCCUAUCCUUGAAUAGUGUAUCUGCCGAACUAAAAUGUUCCUGAAGUUUGAAAGUACUUCUUUCCUCCAUCUGCCUUACUUCUUUAACUCACAAUGUCUGUCUUUUCUCUAUAUCUAGUAUUUCUUUAGGAAAAGGCUUUACUUAAGCUGUCAGGGCCAAGAUUCUCCCACUAAACCAAUAUACUUUUUAAUUUAAUGAUUUAGACGCUAGGAACACAGUCAUGGGUAAAACAUGCACAAAACCCCUGCUGCCGGCGGGAAGCUUACUUUUUUAGGCCUUAUUUGUAACUUUACAUACAGUUAUACAUGCUUCUUGUAAAUAGUAAGAUAACCUACAGGUCAUCUGGCAACUUCUCUGUUUCCAGGGAACCAGGAAGUAGGGCCUAGGCCACCAGAAUAGUGUUACAGAAUGUGCAGGGGACUCAGGGAGACCCAGCUGGCUUUUUUUUUUUUUUUUUUUUUUUUUAGUUUUUUUAGUUUUAUGUUCCCAAGGUGCAGGAAAAUGGAAGGAAAACCAUCAGCCACUUUUAGGUAAUGAUACUGAUAAUCCUAAGAAUUUACAGCUGAUCCCAGUUAGCCCAGGAAUUUACAGCUCACGGUGGCCUUUAUAACCAAGAAGACUUAACCCAGAGAUAGUGUAAAAGGCAGGUAGAGUUAUUCAGUAGUAGACUCUGGCUCUGGAUCACAAGCAAUAUCACCAACACUUUCUUUCAUAGGCCUUUCAGGCAAAUAAUUGAUGCUCAGUCUGAUGAGUCAGAGGUUACGCUUUGAACAAGCUCUCAUUAGCACCCGCUACUUGCCUUUCUUCAGGGAAAGGUUAUUCGGUGCCACUAUCCUGAAUCUAGAACCCUUGAGGCCUAGUAGUUUUCAGAAUACAGAAGUGUUCUUACACAUAAUCCGGGGUGUAUGUUCCUCCUCCUUCCAUGCCUGUGGGGGUGUGUUCACAAUGUAAACGCAAUGAAAUAAAUGUAUGAAUAUGCAAAUGUCAGCCUGAACACAGUGAGGACAAUGACCUCUUCUCAUUUCAGGUCAAGUUUACUGCCAGUAAACUCAGAUCACUUUUUUUUAACUUUUGGGGGAUAUGUCAUGGAUUAAAUGUCAGUUUUGAAACAUUUCAUUCAUGGAUAGUCAAACAGUUCAGAGUGUAUAUCAAAAAUUAAUUUACACAUUUAAAAGUUUGGGUAUCAAUCAUUUAAGAUAUAGUUUACAAUUCAAGGACAUUUAAAAAAUACUACUUAUUUAUCUUGUCUAGCUUUCCGUAUCAGCAGAGGGUCUGCUUCCUCCCUUGGGAGGCAUUGCAAACCCUCCCUCCUUCCUUCUGUCUCUGGGUCCACUGGUUGUUUAUGAGUGCACUUAUCUCUUUAGCCUUUGUCAACAUUGCAUGCUCCGUCCUUUCAUUUUGACAGUAAAUGAAUGAAAGCUGUCCCAUCUAAUUUGUAUUUCAUUGGUUAGAAACCAUGUUCAUGGUUUUUCUUUUUCUCUGAACUGUUUUUUGUUUGUUUGUUUGUUUGUUGGGUUUUUUGUUUUGGUUUGGUUUGGUUUUUUGGUUUUUCGAGACAGGGCUUCUCUGUAUAGCCCUGGCUGUCCUGGAACUCACUCUGUAGACCAGGCUGGCCUCGAACUCAGAAAUUCGCCUGCCUCUGCCUCCCGAGUGCUGGGAUUAAAGGCAAGCAUCACCACUGCCCAGCUCUGAACUGUUCUUAUUCAUUGAUUUAUUUUUCUCUUCUAAGGUCUAUUUUCUUACUCAAUGGUAAAAAUGUAGAUGUAUGUUAGGGAAAUUUUAUUUGUGGUAACAUGAAACAAAAAUUUUCUCCUAAAUUAAUCAUAGACAUAUUUAUGUAAUUUAUGCAGUUAAAAAUUUUUAACAGAAUCAAAAUGAACUACUUGUUUUCUGAACCACAUGGCUAUUUUAUCUCCCUCUUCCCCAUCUACAAAGCACUUCCCCAUCUGAGGGCGGGUGCUCGCCUAGCACAUCCUAGGUUUGAUUUCUCAGCACUAAGAAACAAAAGUGGGGGGAGGAAAGACCCUCCCCCUGUUCCCGUGUUACCAUAAAAAAAAUAGAAGG
rnacentral:lncRNA from 1 species